ACACAGCACAGUUCAUAUUUCUUGUUCUAAUGACUCCCCUCCCAGUUCUACUUAAUUAAAGCUAGGAGAGGGGGGCUGGGGAAGAUAAUUAGGGAGGUCUCCAGCCGCUGCUUAAUGAGCCAGUAAUUAACCAGCCGGGGAGGGGAGCUGGCCUCUGGCCAGCCUGGGGAAGCCCGGCCUCCAGCCUCACCUUCCUGCCCGCCCCGCAGCACCCCCAGACACCAGCAGUCCUCAGGCCGGAGAGUAAUCACAUUUAUUCGUGCAACCCAGACUUCGUUCAGACGGGCUCGGAGCAGCAGUGGGAGGCAGGCAGGGAGGGAAACUGGGGCUCGUCUCAGCAUCCUGAACUCUUUCCAGCGCUGCAGUUUUUCUACGUGGAAGAGGACACCUUCUUUGGUCGGCAAACACCGAUUUCCGGAGGGAAAUAUAACUGAGGACCCCUCA